rnacentral:rRNA from 1 species
UACAGAGGGUGCGAGCGUUGUCCGGAAUCACUGGGCGUAAAGGGCGCGUAGGCGGCCUGAUAAGUAGGGGGUGAAAUCCUGUGGCUUAACUGCAGGGCUGCCUCCUAGACUGUUAGGCUCGAGCACGGUAGAGGCAGAUGGAAUUCCCGGUGUAGCGGUGGAAUGCGUAGAGAUCGGGAAGAACAUCGGUGGCGAAGGCGGCAUCCUGGACCAACACUGACACUGAGGAGCGAAAGCCAGGGGAGCAAACGGG